UGCUAAGGCCACCACCCUGAAUGUGCCCGAUUUCCUCUGACCUUGGAAGCUAAGCAGGGGUGGGCCUGGUGAUGUGAACUUUAGGCUUACCCUCGUAU
rnacentral:rRNA from 1 species